rnacentral:ncRNA from 1 species
CCUCGCGAGAGGGAAUCUGAAGAAAGCCGUAUACAAAAUGCUGAUUUGACGAACAGGAAGUGCAUAUGAGGCUGGAGCUUCUAGGACAAGGGUGCGGUUGAAUCCGAAGUCCAAUACUUACCCGGAAGAAGCUAAAGUAGAUGCAACAGAUUAGCAGGAAAGUUU